UGAUGAUGACGGGGGCAACUAAUGAGUAGAGAUUUAAACCUUUUCCAAGCUUGAUAUAAAUUCUCUCCAUCUUUUUAUUUAAAGCUUAGGAUUUUGCUUCUCAACUU